UAUUUCCCAGUGCUCAGCUCAGCCGCAGUGCAGCCACGUGGUGGCACUGGGUAAGAGUGUGCCAGCACGGUGACCAAGGGCGUGAACGCGGGCUUGAAGGCCGAAGGAGGGAAUAACAGCACAUGAUGAGUUCUGUCUGCAGACUGGGCCAACCUUCUGCUGAAAAUUACCGGAAUGCUGAUUAAAAUAUCUAAGGAGCACGGAAGAGCCCACACGAUAGCAAGAACGUCAGCCCGCACAUCUGGGUGACGGAACCCAGAGCGCUGAGCAAAGGUCAGAAACUCAUACUGCCUUGAGGACAUCCGCGGAACCCAACAAACGGAGCUCUUCAUUUAGGGAAGGAGGUGGGACCUGGGCAAGAGUGCAGGGCUGGCCCAAGGUGAACAUGAAAUUGGAGAACCUCUUCCCGUGAGUCGGGGACCCCCAAGGGCUACACUCAACUAAAGGGUAAACCACAAGUCAGUCUGAGUAUGAACCACCCCCAGAGACUGAGACCUUGUCCUUGAGCAAAGGAUAGUGGUAUUGUUAGAAGUCAUUCUCACAGUCUGCUCUUGCAGGGUUUGCAGCCCAAAUUCGUAUUUCCUAGGUCAUACAAAAAGUUUCAGUCUUUAAAGCAAAUAGGAAAUGCAGCUCCCCCAGGUGUUGGGAGAAGCAAACACAAACCUCCUGAGGGAUACGUCUUCCUCCUAGGCAUCAAAGAAAUUCCUUAAGUUAUUUUUCAAGGACAACGAGCAUCAUACAGUCUAAGCAAGUGUUACUGUUAAGCAGAAAACCGUAUAUCAGUUACCAGUCUCAAAGGAGGACUCUAAACACUUCUGCCCACCGAUCUUGGGCUACCAGAGAUAGCCCAUGAUACACUAAUGAUAUAGUGUCAUAAAUAGGGCAACUGUGCUGCAACAGCCAAGAAGUAAACAGAACUGUUGGAUUUGGGUGUCAUGCACACGGUAUGUGUUGGAGGGCAAAGGGGUGCAUAACUGAGGCUCUACAGAAUAGGCCAUAAUAUCAACUGAUGACAUAGCUGAGGAGCCUCUGCAUGCCACCAGCUUUGCUAAACACUUUUCAUUUGCUGCUCCUCGACUUCCCACAAGGAACCAUGCCCACUCAAGAAAUGGGAAAACCAAGGUCCAGAGAGGGUGCCCCAGCAACCCAGCUACCUGGCUGGGAGGCAGCAAAGUCAGGAUUCCAUACCAGCCAAAUUUCUCACUCCCUCUGACCUCCAAGUCUGCAAAAUGAAGCUCAUGACACUAACCAGCAGAGCAGCAACUGGCACCUCGGCUGUGACUUGUUGGUGAGUCAUCGGCAAACCUACACCCAAACUGUGCUCAGCUGUUAGAUUCUGUUUACUUCUUGACGUCAGGGGAGAGAAAGAAGAAGAGUUAAUUAGAGUUUGCAAGUGCCUAGCUUCGAGGAAAUAUAGUCAGUCCCUUUUUACAGUUCCUCGGUCUAUUUUUGUUUGGGCAUCAGAGAAAGAAACUCAAGAAAUGCGUUUCCAUAAUCACAUGGGCUAAAAAUCUCACAUUAUAUAAAUAAAUUCCUUGUGCAUCCCGUGGA